rnacentral:rRNA from 1 species
GAUGAACGCUAGCGGGAGGCCUAACACAUGCGAGCCGAGCGGUAUUGUUUCUUCGGAAAUGAGAGAGCGGCGUACGGGUGCGGAACACGUGUGCAACCUGCCUUUAUCUGGGGGAUAGCCUUUCGAAAGGAAGAUUAAUACUCCAUAAUAUAUUGAACGGCAUCGUUUAAUAUUGAAAGCUCCGGCGGAUAGAGAUGGGCACGCGCAAGAUUAGCUAGUUGGUGAGGUAACGGCUCACCAAGGCGAUGAUCUUUAGGGGGCCUGAGAGGGUGAUCCCCCACACUGGUACUGAGACACGGACCAGACUCCUACGGGAGGCAGCAGUGAGGAAUAUUGGUCAAUGGGUGCAAGCCUGAACCAGCCAUCCCGCGUGAAGGACGACUGCCCUAUGGGUUGUAAACUUCUUUUGUAUAGGGAUAAACCUACCCUCGUGAGGGUAGCUGAAGGUACUAUACGAAUAAGCACCGGCUAACUCCGUGCCAGCAGCCGCGGUAAUACGGAGGGUGCAAGCGUUAUCCGGAUUUAUUGGGUUUAAAAGGGUCCGUACGCGGACUUAUAAGUCAGUGGUGAAAGCCUGUCGCUUUAACGAUAGAACUGCCAUUGAUACUGUAAGUCUUGAGUAUAUUUGAGGUAGCUGGAAUAAGUAGUGUAGCGGUGAAAUGCAUAGAUAUUACUUAGAACACCAAUUGCGAAGGCAGGUUAUCAAGAUAUAACUGACGCUGAGGGACGAAAGCGUGGGGAGCGAACAGGAUUAGAUACCCUGGUAGUCCACGCCGUAAACGAUGCUAACUCGUUUUUGGGCUUUAGGGUUCAGAGACCAAGCGAAAGUGAUAAGUUAGCCACCUGGGGAGUACGCUCGCAAGAGUGAAACUCAGAGGAAUUGACGGGGGCCCGCACAAGCGGUGGAUUAUGUGGUUUAAUUCGAUGAUACGCGAGGAACCUUACCAAGACUUAAAUGGGAAUUGACAGCUUUAGAAAUAGAGCUUUCUUCGGACAAUUUUCAAGGUGCUGCAUGGUUGUCGUCAGCUCGUGCCGUGAGGUGUUAGGUUAAGUCCUGCAACGAGCGCAACCCCUGUCACUAGUUGCCAUCAUUCAGUUGGGGACUCUAGUGAGACUGCCUACGCAAGUAGAGAGGAAGGUGGGGAUGACGUCAAAUCAUCACGGCCCUUACGUCUUGGGCCACACACGUAAUACAAUGGCCGGUACAGAGGGCAGCUACACAGCGAUGUGAUGCAAAUCUCGAAAGCCGGUCUCAGUUCGGAUUGGAGUCUGCAACUCGACUCUAUGAAGCUGGAAUCGCUAGUAAUCGCGCAUCAGCCAUGGCGCGGUGAAUACGUUCCCGGGCCU